GUCACGUGUCAGGGUAACUAUAAAAGGCAGUGUACGCGGCUUCUUCCGUUCAGGCUGACCUUUCUCAGUGUCUUAUAGCUGCUGCUUGUUAUCGCUGUUCGACCAUCCAACAUGUCCGCCUCACUAGCCCGGCUGUUCCGGAUUCCAAGCCUGGCUCAGGUCACAGCUAGGAGGGGGAUUGCUUCCAAGCCAGCUCGCAGCCCAGUGAGCUCCACGGAGUCCAUCAUUGGAUUUACAACAUUUGUUGUAUGCUUCCUGGCUCCAUCCGGAUGGGUUCUCUCCAACAUGGAGGUUUAUAAAAAGAGGGAUUGAAUCCAGCUCUUCAACUGCAUUUGUUACAUUCCAUUCGAGAGUCAAGACACAAGGAUACACAUGUCGCUGGUCCUGAACGCACAUUUUCUCCAUGUCUCUAAAAUAAUUUAGUCUGUUACAUUAAAAUGUUUACUCCUACAUAUUAAAUUGCAGUUCCAA